GGCUCCAGACACCCAGGCUCAGCAGCCAUGGCUCACAGGCCUAGCCACUCGGCGGCAUGUGGGAUCCUCCCGGUCCGGGGCACAAACCCACGUCCCCUGCAUCAGCAGGCAGACUCUCAACCACUGCGCCACCAGGGAAGCCCGAAUCUGCAUUUUUAACAAGAUUCCUAAAUGGUUUGCACAGUAAAGUUUGAGAAGCACUACUCUAAAGAACUAUACUAGAAUGAGAUGGAGAAACAAAGGCUCACAGAGGUUAAGUAAAUUGCCCAAGGACGCACAGCUGGGGUCAACCAGCAUCUCCUUCUCCCAGCCUCCUGCAUCUCCCUCCCCAUCUCCUGCGCAGGCUUGGAAUCUCAUCUUGGUAUUUGCGUCUCAGAGGAUCCAAGUUACCACACCUGGAGCUUCCAGAAAUUGAUGGGAGUGCAGCAAACAACCUCAGUGUUCAUUGCCUGGAGGGCAAGGGGAGGUGUGGGGCUGGCAGUGAGUGGAACAUAGGCAGCAGGUAGAGAAAUCAGACAGAAAAGAGCAGCUGAAGACUUGUACUGGGUUGAACAGUGUCCACCCCAUCCCCAAGAAUUCACAUCCUUCCUGGAACCUCAGAAUGUGCCAUUAUUUGGAAAUAGGGGAGUUGCAGAUGUCAUUAGUCAAGACGAUGUCAAACUGUAGUAGGGUGGGCUCUAAAUCCAACAUGACUGGUGUCGCUAUAAGAAGAGGAGAGACCCAGAGAGCCAGGAGGAGAUGCCAUGUGGAGACAGAGGCAGAGGUUGGGACAAUGCAGGGCCAAGCGAGGAAUGUCAAGAUUACUGGCAGGCCUUUCCCACCUUCUGAGAUGGCCCACACUCUGUAGAGUUUGUAUCUCUCUAAAUAAAUCCACUUCUUACCUAACACUUUGUCUCUCACUGAAUUCUUUCUGCGAUGAGACAUCAAGAACCUGAGCUUCAUUAAGUCCUGAAACCACGGAACACGGGGUCGAGCCCUGGUCCAGGAAGAUCCCACAUGCCGUGGAGCAACUAAGCC